UAUGUGGACCAGUGUAUUAUUCAUUUUAUUAUUUGAGAAUCCUUACCUGUCAUAUCAUAUUUGUAAAUAUUGCUAAAUAUGACUAGGAAUUACAUUUUCUUGAGUGUUUGGUGCCAUAGUGGUGAAUAUAUUUGAGUG